rnacentral:tRNA from 1 species
GAAAAUGAAGUAUUUAUAGAUCCGCUUCAGUUACAUUGAAGAAAACCACAAAUUUUGGCAUUUUCA